AGCGUGAAAUGGGAGGAUCCCCCGGAUGACCAAAAUAAGGUUGUGGAGAAUAUGAAGGAUGAAACAGAGACACAUGAGACCAACAAGAACAGGACAGGAGGCAAGAGUCUUCUCAGACACCCGGGUGUGGUUUCCGGGAAAGGGGAUCUAUCAUUGAGCAGCUGGAGAAGGAGGCUCAGAGGACUCUAAUGCCUUCUCUCAAGAUUGAGACAUGCUGUGCCCCAAUCCUCCUCUCCUUCCUGAGGAGUCUAACUGAUGACCAAUGGAGGGUGAUUCAGCAUGGCAUGAAAAAUAACCUCACAUUCGAGCAGCUCUCCACGCUGUGUCUGAAGAUUGUUAAAGUCGUGACCCAGACAGCCCUCCGCAUUCUCCUACCAGCGCUAGCUCGUAUCAUGGGGGUGAACCUGAGGAGUGGGGCAACCUCCCCAGAAUCCCAGUGCUCUCUGACAGGGUCUGAGGAUUCCUUAGGCAGUCUGGAUGAGAGAGAGAAAAGGCUGCUGAUCAGUGAGAUGAACUACUGGACUAAGGAGAGGAGGAGGAAUGGCAGUGCAGGGUUCCGCCAAAAAUCCACUCGCAGAACCUCAUCACCAUGCUGUUCGCCUAAGAGGUCCCAGACCUCAUUUCAGAGCUUGCCUGCAACUAGAGAGGCUCCACUCAUGGAGGAGCCUCUGAAGGCUCUUUUUGGGGUAACGGAAGAGAGCCUCCUGAUAUCCCUGGUUGAGGGUCACUCCAACCCCACAUCCUCCGAGUUGAGCUGUGCUAUCGUGGGGGAGGUGGUACACCAGCUUAACUCUGGCCUCUCAGUGGCCAUUCAGGCCAGCCCGGGGAGUUGCCCCCCUAUGGACAGUCAGGACAUAGCAGCAGGCAAGGAGGUCAUUCGGGUAGCCUCGGUGCAGAUCCUGGCCGAGCUACAGAGCCAAACGUCUGAGCCAGAGUGGUUAGGGUUUAUCGAGCCCCUCAUGGACCCUGUGACCGAUGAUGUGCUGGAUGCCAUUGUCGGCACAAUGGACAAAAUGGCACAGGACUUCAACAUCCUAUUGGAUCUGGCCAAGAAGAUGACAAUCUUGGGGUCUAAAUUUCUGACCAAUCUUCAAUGUGACCUUGAUGUUGAGUGUCCAUCUGGGAAAGAAGGGACCACUCACUUUCUCAAAGAGACUGGAUCCUCUACCAGUGUGGUGGCCAGAAAGCUUCAGACCCUCUCUAGCCCCGACUUUCAGUCUAAAGCCCUGAAGGCGGUGAGCACCAUCCUUACAAGGAAAGUCAGCAGCUCUUCUGGCAUGGCUCCUUCCUCUAGGCCUUCUAGUGCUGCUCCUAGCCUUACUGAAGCCCCCCUGAAUACCAGCUGCACAGCCCUGACAUCUGUAACCUCCACUGCCACAGUGAUUGUUAAGGCAUUUGUGGGAGGCAUGGAGACGAUAGCAUCAUUUGAAGGCACAUGUGAAGCCGUUGAUUGGCCAGUUCCUGUAAAUGACCACAAAACAGGAUCUUCACAGAUGAUAACCUUCUCUCUAGCACGCACACUCUACGGCCGUAUACGAGCAAAGCUGAGGGACCUUUUAACUCUAUCCACUCGAGAAGAAGGUGUGGCUAAGGAUGCUUCUCUUCAGGAGUCUUCAGACACCCUGGAAAAGGCAACUGUUUCAACUGUUGAGGUCCAGUUACCCAGCACCGAACUUAGUAGAGUUCCCAGAGAGAGCCAACCAAUACCAGCUCUCUGUCGCUCCAAUCUGGAUACCAGUACUCAAGAAGUUCUUAGCAGUGUUUUUUCCAUCUACAAGUCAGAGUUAUCAAAAGUGGAGAGUAAAUCCUUGGCCGUUGUCAGUUCAUCUGAUGAGUCCCUAGAGGCUUGUUGGUUUGUUGAUGGUGUCCUAUCAAAGCUCGAUGACUAUACUAUUUCCCAGUCACCCUCACCCAAUGAAGACUUGAGCGUGAGUACUCAAUAUUCUCAACUGAGCUCAGAAGAGAGUGUCAGAAUCACAGAGUCCUCUACUAGUCUGAUUCAGAGCAUUAAGAAGCUCUCUAGCAAUGACUUCCAGACUCAGGCAGAAGAGGCAGUGAGUAAAGUGCUGAUGAGAUCCAGUCAUUCCUUUAUCACACAGAUCAGCCAUACUGGUCUUCAGAAAAGUCUGCAGGCUGGCUUAUCAUCUAGCUCACCAUCAGAGAUCCAUGUCCUUUCAGAAUCCAUGUCCUCCAUGUCCUCUGANNNNNNNNNNAGCUCCUUCAGAUCAAUGAUAUGGUAG
rnacentral:lncRNA from 13 species